rnacentral:rRNA from 1 species
UACGAAGGGGGCUAGCGUUGCUCGGAAUCACUGGGCGUAAAGCGCACGUAGGCGGCUUUCUAAGUCAGGGGUGAAAUCCUGGAGCUCAACUCCAGAACUGCCUUUGAUACUGGAGAGCUUGAGUCCGGAAGAGGUGAGUGGAACUCCGAGUGUAGAGGUGAAAUUCGUAGAUAUUCGGAAGAACACCAGUGGCGAAGGCGGCUCACUGGUCCGGUACUGACGCUGAGGUGCAAAAGCGUGGGGAGCAAACAGG